rnacentral:rRNA from 1 species
AGAGUUGAUUAUGGCUCAGGACGAACGCUGGCGGCGUGCUUCAUACAUGCAAGUCGAACGAGAAUCUGGCUUCGGUCAGAGGAAAGUGGCGGACGGGUGAGUAAUGUGUAGAGAAUCUGCCCUUUAGUGGGGGACAACAGUUGGAAACGACUGCUAAUACCCCAUAUGCGCGUAGCUGAGAUGCUAUUCGUGAAAACUCCGGUGCUAAAGGAUGAGUCUGCAUCUGAUUAGCUAGUUGGCGGUGUAAUGGACCACCAAGGCGACGAUCAGUAGCUGGUUUGAGAGGAUGAUCAGCCACAAUGGGACUGAGACACGGCCCAUACUCCUACGGGAGGCAGCAGUAGGGAAUUUUGCGCAAUGGGGGAAACCCUGAACCGCAGCAACGCCGCGUGAUUGAAUAAGCCCUUCGGGGUGUAAAGAUCUGUCAGUAGGGACGAAACUUGACGGUACCUACAGAGGAAGCAUCGGCUAACUCCGUGCCAGCCGCCGC